CCAGCCCAGUAAGGACAGAAUUGCGAGUCCAGAUCCAAAUAAAAGGGCAAAACCGGCAAGGUGAAAGUAUGAAAACCCUAAUAAAGUUUCAGUAUCCGUCCUUUAAAUCGUCACGCUGCGGCCUCCGCUUCUCCAACCGAAAACUCCAGAGCCUCUUUUCCCUUCUUCCCCAUUCUGUUUUUCUUUCUUUUUUUUUUUUUUUGAUUAGUAUUUGUGGAAAAUUAGUAGGAAAUCAGAUGAUGAAUUUGGAUUAAUCAUCUCACGACGGUCGUCUGAGACUCAGUGUCGAAGCUGAAACGAUCCUUUGCUUCUGAUGGUUUCUAAAUCUGUAAUCUUUUUUUUUUUUUUCUUUUAAUUUUUCUUAUUAUUUUUGUAUGAAUUCGUCUUAGUUUUUCACUUUGAUUUUAUUGAGAAAUUAAAAUUAAUUACUUUAACCCGCCAUUGCUUUUGCUUGUGAACUUAUAUUUAGAUUAAUGUAUUUUUAAAAUAUGAAAUCUUUGAGUUUUUUUAUUUUUUUAUUUAUUUUUUGGUAAAUUGAAGAGGCACGAUGAGGAGUAAUUAUAGUAGUGGUAUGAGAUUUCAUAUAUCGAUGACUAAUAAUUUUAGUCCUUUUCAUUCUGAGUGCCUUUAUCCUUCUUUUUGUAUUUUUAAACGAAUUGCGGGAAAUUUUAAUUUCUUGGUCAAGAACCCUAAUGUAGCUUCUUCAGCGAGAAAUAUAUGAUUGUAAAUUUAAUCAAGAUGUUUCAUCUCCAAUUUCAGAUCAAUGAGCCUAGAGUCGAGUUUACAUAUAAUUAUGCUCAUCUUGCUUAUGUAAAAAGUGCUUCUAUUCGGAAGUGUUUUGUUGCUGUAAGUGUUAAAAAUUGAAGUGUUAUUUUUUUUACAUAAAAGUAUUUGAAUGCGUUUUUUAUAACUUUGGAAAUAUUUUUAAGAAAAGUUUUAUUUGAACUCAGUUAUCUUAUAUCUACGUUCAGCUCUUCAUAUGGCUUAUUAAGUCUUAUUGGUUCCCUAGUCUAUUUUGUGACACAUCAUUCUCCACCACGUACUUCUUCUAACCCUCAUAUCUAAAUUACAAUACCUCAUUACCUAAUACAUAGAAUAUAAAAAGAAUUACAAUAAAUUGUUUAGCUCACAAACCGUUGUUUCAUAGCACAUAAAAGUUCUAAUUAAGCAUACAAAAUAAAUAAUACAAAUCAUUAUUUCAUAGCAUAUAUAAGGUUUAGAGAAAUUCUAACUCCUCAAUACUCUGAGUUCCCUAGUCUAUUUUGUGGAUUAAAUGAAUUCUUGGAUAGACAUUAUUUGUAAAGAAUGGUUGGUUGUUUCUUUUUUUCUUUCUUUGAAAUGGGUGAGAAAUGAUUGGUUUAGUAAUUUCAAAUUGGAAGCGUUGGCAAAAGGGUUGGUUUGUGCAAGAAGGGGAGGGAUGAGGCAUUUUAUAUAAAAAUGCUAGUGAAGAGGUUAAAUUUUAGUUUAGUUGGAAUCUCUCUUCAUUGAGAGAAGUUUAAGGUAAUAAUAGUUAGUAAUAUCCUAUAUGACCCAUGCAGAAUAAAUUUUCUAACUUCUUAAUACUCUUUGAAUGAUAAAUUUAAGAUAAUGAUAGCUAGUAAUAAGUUUAGUUUGAAUCUCUCUUCAUCAUGCAUGACAAAUUUAUUAUUGGAAAUUCUAACUCUUCAAUACUUUUUGAGUUCUCUGGUCUAUUUAUUGGAUCUUCAAUGAACUCUUGAAUAAACAUUAUUUGUAGAGAAUGGUUGGUUGUGUUUUUUUUCUUUCUUUAAUAGGAAAGAAAUGUUUGAUUUAGUGAUUUCAAAUUGUAAGUGUUGGCCAAAGCGUUGGCUCUGUACAAGAAUGGAGGGAUGGAGGUUUUAUAUAAGAAUGUUAGCGAAGAGGUUGCAUUUAGUUAACAUUCUUAUAUAAAGCCUCCCAUCUCUCCACUUCUUGUACAGAACCAACCCUUUGCCAAUGCUUCCAAUUUGAAGUCACUAAACCAACCAUUUCUCUCCCAUUUCAAAUAAAGAAAAAAAAAAACAACAAUCAUUCUCUACCAAUAAUGUCUAUCCAAGAGUUCAUUCAAGAUCCUUAAAAUAGACUAAGGAAUUCAAAGAGUAAUGAGUAGUUCGAAGUUCCAAUAAUAAAUCUGUCAUGCAUGAUGAAGAGAGAUUCCAACUAAACUUAUUACUAGUUGUCAUUACCUUAAAUCUGUCAUUCAAAGAGUAUUGAGGAGUUAGAACAUUUCUUCUGCAUGGGUUAUAUAGCUUAUUACUGGCUGUCAUUACCUUAAACCUUUAAUAAUUCUCUAAUGCAUGAUGAAGAGAGAUUUUAAUUAAACUAAAUGGAACUUCUUCACUAACAUUCUUAUAUAAAUUCUCAUCCCUCCACUUCUUGCACAGAACCAACCCUUUGGCCAACGUUUCCAAUUUGAAAUCACUAAACCAACCACUUCUCUCCUAUCUCAAAGAAAGGAAAAAAAAGCCUCCAACCAUUCUUUACAAAUAAUGUCUAUCCAAGAGUUCAUUUAAGAUCCACAAAAUAGACUAGGAACUCAAAGAAUAUCGAGGAAUUAGAAUUUCCCUAAACCCUAUAUAUGCUUGAAAUAAUGGUUUGUAUUAUUUAUUUUGUAUGCUUCAUUAGAACUUUUAUGUACUAUGAAACAACAAUUUGUAAGUUGAACACUUUCUUGUAAUUCUUCUUAUAUUGUAAGUAUAAUGUUUUAGAUAAUGAAGUAUGUAUUGAUUAUUAUACAUGCUUUGUAAUUUGGAUUUGGAUAUUUUCCCCCUGGGUAUGAUGGUCAGAAGAAGUACAGUGGUGGAGAAUGAUCUGUCAUCUCUUUUGUAGCAAUCCAUGUCUCGGCAGCAAGCCUUCUUCCCAUCUAUAUGGAGGGAGUGUUCACAAUCACAUGUCAAUAUUUUAAGAGGCGAGACUUUGAUUUGAAGGCCCUGAUCAAACUUCUAUUCCUCCUAUCAAAGUGUGAUGGAGCAUCCUCAAACCGUUUAAUUAAGGUGGUGCAGGCAAAUAAUUCUUUCCAAGAGUCUGUUGUUAACAAGUCCCACCCCUCAAAGACAAUUCGGCAGUGGAGGGAUCUUCAAGAGUACAUAAAUGUGAUGUACAAUGGCAAACUGCUAAUGGUUAGUGAAUGUGUAUUUCAAGUUCUCUAUUUAAGUAUUUAAUGUUUAGUUCUAGAGUGACGCAAAUGACAACAAAAUAUUCUCCUGAGUUCAUUAACAAGUAAGCUUGUUAGAAACCCUUGUUGCAUGAAAGCCUUAGCGGCCCUCAUUUAUAAUUUUAGCGGAGAAGACUUCUUAUCAAUUUGUUGGACAUGAAACAAAUGCUUGCAAUAUGAGAAAAAAGCUUCCAUGUCAGUGUCCAUUUAGAAGAGAUAGCAACAAGGUUUACUAGCAAGCUGACUUGUUAGUUUUAAUAAUUUAUGCAAGUAGUCAACUCCCAAAUAAUGGUUCAAACAAGCAAAUAUAUCAGCCGAAAAUCUACGCUGAAAUUUUAAAUGAGGGCUGAUAAGGGUUUUUAGCAAGUUGACUCGUUGAUGAACUCGAAAAAAUAUUUUGCUGUUAUUUGGGUGGAUUUUGGCGGAAAUAAUAUAGGAGUGCAUUGGUGUGCCAGUUUUGAAGUUAUAGGAUGUAGAGAUAAAAACACAAACUUUUAUUUUUAUUUAUUUUCUUAUUCUUUUAUUAAAAAGGGUUAUUUCAAUCGAACUUGUUCGUGUAAGAGAGAGAAAAAAGAGUGAUGAAAUAUAACGAACAUGACCAGAAGAUACUACACCAGUGCUCUACGAAACUGUUGAUGGGCUUGGCCAGAUGUGGUUGACCUGGAUGGGCUCAUAGGGUCCAAAUAUCUAACUUGUUUGCAGUUGGAUGAAUGAUAAUAACACUUGUCAGAUCGCAACGGUCUUGAUUUAAAGAUGUUUCUAAAGCACCAUUACGGUUUUUUUUUUGGGUUGGAAGAGCUGUUAUGAUGUAGUUUUAAUCGUUUGACAAAUAUUUUUAGUCUUGUAGAUUUGCUUAGACCAUCUCUCAUAUUGUUGCGUUAAUCAAGGAAGCAGUACCAAAUAAACCUCUAGAAAAAUCAUAAGUGGUCCAAACUGUUAUUCUACGUACUUGUAAAGAACUCAAACUUGACAACAGUAUGAUAAUACAAUAUGAUGACAAGCGUUGCGGU